rnacentral:rRNA from 1 species
UACGGAGGGUGCAAACGUUGCUCGGAAUCAUUGGGCGUAAAGCGCACGUAGGCGGCCUGUUAAGUCAGGUGUGAAAGCCCCGGGCUCAACCUGGGAAUUGCAUUUGAGACUGAAUAGCUAGGGUGCGGAAGAGGGAAGCGGAAUUUCCGGUGUAGCGGUGAAAUGCGUAGAUAUCGGAAGGAACACCAGUGGCGAAAGCGGCUUCCUGGUCCAGCACCGACGUUCAGGCACGAAAGCGUGGGGAGCAAACAGG